rnacentral:rRNA from 1 species
UACGUAGGGUCCGAGCGUUGUCCGGAAUUAUUGGGCGUAAAGAGCGUGUAGGCGGUUCGGUAAGUCUGCCGUGAAAACCCAGGGCUCAACCCUGGGCGUGCGGUGGAUACUGCCGGGCUAGAGGGUGGUAGAGGCGAGUGGAAUUCCCGGUGUAGCGGUGAAAUGCGCAGAUAUCGGGAGGAACACCAGUAGCGAAGGCGGCUCGCUGGGCCACACCUGACGCUGAGACGCGAAAGCGUGGGGAGCAAACAGG